rnacentral:rRNA from 1 species
CCUACGGGUGGCUGCAGUGGGGAAUAUUGCACAAUGGGGGAAACCCUGAUGCAGCAACGCCGCGUGAGCGAAGAAGGCCUUCGGGUCGUAAAGCUCUGUCCUAAGGGAAGAAGCAUGACGGUACCUUAGGAGGAAGCCCCGGCUAACUACGUGCCAGCAGCCGCGGUAAUACGUAGGUGGCAAGCGUUGUCCGGAAUUAUUGGGCGUAAAGCGCGCGCAGGCGGUCUUUUAAGUCUGAUGUGAAAUCUUGCGGCUCAACCGCAAGCGGUCAUUGGAAACUGGGAGACUUGAGUGCAGGAGAGGAGAGUGGAAUUCCCAGUGUAGCGGUGAAAUGCGUAGAUAUUGGGAGGAACACCAGUUGCGAAGGCGGCUCUCUGGACUGUAACUGACGCUGAGGCACGAAAGCGUGGGGAGCGAACAGGAUUAGAUACCCCAGUAGUC